GACGAACGCUGGCGGCGCGCCUAACACAUGCAAGUCGAACGGAGUCAGGAGGAGCUUGCUUUUCUUGACUUAGUGGCGAACGGGUGAGUAACGCGUGAGUAACCUGCCCUGGAGUGGGGGACAAAAGUUGGAAACGACUGCUAAUACCGCAUAAGCCCACGGAUCUGCAUGGAUCUGCGGGAAAAGGAUUUAUUCGCUCUAGGAUGGACUCGCGUCCAAUUAGCGAGUUGGUGAGGUAACGGCCCACCAAGGCGACGAUUGGUGGCCGGACUGAGAGGUUGAACGGCCACAUUGGGACUGAGACACGGCCCAGACUCCUACGGGAGGCAGCAGUGGGGGAUAUUGCACAAUGGGGGAAACCCUGAUGCAGCGACGCCGCGUGGAGGAAGAAGGUUUUCGGAUUGUAAACUCCUGUCGUUAGGGACGAUAAUGACGGUACCUAACAAGAAAGCACCAGCUAACUACGUG
rnacentral:rRNA from 1 species